AGUGAACGCUGGCGGUAGGCCUAACACAUGCAAGUCGAACGGCAGCACAGAGGAGCUAGCUCCUUGGGUGGCGAGUGGCGGACGGGUGAGGAAUACAUCGGAAUCUACUCUGUCGUGGGGGAUAACGUAGGGAAACUUACGCUAAUACCGCAUACGACCUACGGGUGAAAGCAGGGGAUCUUCGGACCUUGCGCGAUCGAAUGAGCCGAUGUCGGAUUAGCUAGUUGGCGGGGUAAAGGCCCACCAAGGCGACGAUCCGUAGCUGGUCUGAGAGGAUGAUCAGCCACACUGGAACUGAGACACGGUCCAGACUCCUACGGGAGGCAGCAGUGGGGAAUAUUGGACAAUGGGCGCAAGCCUGAUCCAGCCAUACCGCGUGGGUGAAGAAGGCCUUCGGGUUGUAAAGCCCUUUUGUUGGGAAAGAAAUCCAUCUGGUUAAUACCCGGGUGGGAUGACGGUACCCAAAGAAUAAGCACCGGCUAACUUCGUGCCAGCCGCCGCAGUAA
rnacentral:rRNA from 1 species